rnacentral:rRNA from 1 species
GAUGAACGCUAGCUACAGGCUUAACACAUGCCAGUCGAGGGGAAACGACAUCGAAAGCUUGCUUUUGAUGGGCGUCGACCGGCGCACGGGUGAGUAACGCGUAUCCAACCUGCCCAUCACUUGGGAAUAACCUUGCGAAAGUAAGACUAAUACCCAAUGACAUCCCACGAAGACAUCUGAAUGGGAUUAAAGAUUUAUCGGUGAUGGAUGGGGAUGCGUCUGAUUAGCUUGUUGGCGGGGUAACGGCCCACCAAGGCAACGAUCAGUAGGGGUUCUGAGAGGAAGGUCCCCCACAUUGGAACCGAGACCCGGUCCAAACUGCUACGGGAGGCAGCAGUGGGGAAGAUUGGGCAAUGGGCGAGAGCCUGAACCAGCCAAGUAGGGUGCAGGAUGACGGCCCUAUGGGUUGUAAACUGCUUUUAUAAGGGAAUAAAGUGGGUCUCGUGAGACUUUUUGCAUGUACCUUAUGAAUAAGGACCGGCUAAUUCCGUG